AUUGAACGCUGGCGGCAGGCCUAACACAUGCAAGUCGAGCGAGCGGCGGACGGGUGAGUAAUGUCUGGGAAACUGCCUGAUGGAGGGGGAUAACUACUGGAAACGGUAGCUAAUACCGCAUACCAUCAGAUGUGCCCAGAUGGGAUUAGCUAGUAGGUGGGGUAAUGGCUCACCUAGGCGACGAUCCCUAGCUGGUCUGAGAGGAUGAUCAGCAACACUGGGACUGAGACACGGCCCAGACUCCUACGGGAGGCAGCAGUGGGGAAUAUUGCACAAUGGGCGCAAGCCUGAUGCAGCCAUGCCGCGUGUAUGAAGAAGGCCCUAGGGUUGUAAAGUACUUUCAGCGGGGAGGCGUUACUCGCAGAAGAAGCACCGGCUAACUCCGUGCCAGCAGCCGCGGUAAUUC
rnacentral:rRNA from 1 species